GCGUGCAUAACAUAUCGACAACAAAACCCGCCAACUGGGGCGAUUCGAUGUUUGACUCAGACUCAGUAAUCCUCAACACAGCUUCUUUGACAUGGGGUUUCUGUCUCUCAACGAAAGAAAAGUCAGUCUCGCCUUUGGGUAGAUCAAUGAUUCGGAGACGAUUGGAUAUAGUAGACAAGGAAGCUUGCUGCGAUUCGAUGUAGUUAUGAACUUUGGGGUUGACAGAAGAAUGGUUGAGGAUAAGUACUGUGAUGGAGAGCUGUUGAUGGUGGGUAAGAAGAAGCUUUGCUGC
rnacentral:misc_RNA from 1 species